rnacentral:rRNA from 1 species
UACGGAGGGUGCGAGCGUUAUCCGGAAUUACUGGGCGUAAAGGGCUCGUAGGCGGCCAACUAAGUCAUACGUGAAAUCCCUCAGCUUAACUGGGGAACUGCGUGUGAUACUGGAUGGCUUGGAUUUGGGAGAGGGAUGCGGAAUUCCAGGUGUAGCGGUGAAAUGCGUAGAUAUCUGGAGGAACACCGGUGGCGAAGGCGGCAUCCUGGACCAAUAUUGACGCUGAGGAGCGAAAGCCAGGGGAGCAAACGGG